GUGCCAGCAGCCGCGGUAAUACAGGGGGGGCAAGCGUUGUUCGGAAUUACUGGGCGUAAAGGGCCAGUAGGCGGCCAACUAAGUCCGACGUGAAAUCCCCAGGCUUAACCUGGGAACUGCGUCGGAUACUGGAUGGCUUGAAUUCGGGAGAGGGAUGCAGAAUUCCCGGUGUAGCGGUGAAAUGCGUAGAGAUCGGGAGGAACAUCAGUGGCGAAGGCGGCCUUCUGGACCAGUACUGACGCUGAGGCACGAAAGCGUGGGGAGCGAACAGGAUUAGAUACCCUGGUAGUCCACGCCGUAAACGAUGGGUGCUAGGUGUGGGCGGUGUCGACUCCCUCCGUGCCGAAGCUAACGCAUUAAGCACCCCGCCUGGGGAGUACGGCCGCAAGGCUAAAACUCAAAGGAAUUGACGG
rnacentral:rRNA from 1 species